CAAGUAUAUCUAUAAUUACUUGGUUACAAAGGGGUUGCAUAAGAUUGCUGAGAUAUUUGCAAUCAAAGCAAAUGUUGUAAAUCCCGCAAAUGUUGCCAACCAAUGGAGCAGAUCUCAAGUAUGCCUCAACAGUCGGAGGGCAAAGAAGAGGGAGAGGGAGAUAAUAUUAACUUUGAACGAACUGUGCAGAUGGAACCAAACUCUCGUCCCCUUAAAAAGAUUAGGCUUUCAGUGCCAGAACUUUCUGAAGCAGGUUGUUCUGUGAUGCAGCAAACUCCCUAGUUUAAUCAAGAUCUUACAAUUGUACGAUCUUCCUCUGGGUAUGGCAUUAAGAAGGUGA